UAGUCGUAAACGAUACUCGCUAGGUGUCGGCCACGGUGCGACCGUUGUCGGUGCCGUAGGGAAGCCGUGAAGCGAGCCACCUGGGAAGUACGGCCGCAAGGCUGAAACUUAAAGGAAUUGGCGGGGGAGCACAACAACGGGUGGAGCUUGCGGUUUAAUUGGAUUCAACGCCGGAAAUCUUACCGGGACCGACAGCAACAUGAAGGCCAAGCUGAAGACUUUGCCGGAUUAGCUGAGAGGUGGUGCAUGGCGUAGUCGUGU
rnacentral:rRNA from 1 species